GGAGAUUAAAGAGAGUUAUCUUUGUACUCCUAUUAUUUCAAAUUAUAAUGAAAGCACCGCUGCUGCCCCGAGGACGUACUCCAGUCACACUGACUGUAGAGGAACCUCGUAAAUUUUGUGUCUUAUUUCAUUUAUUCUACUGCACCCACCGUCGAUUUUACAACACGUUAUUAGCAUGAAAAACUCUCAUGUCAGUGGAAAGCACAACACCAUAAAUCCGGUGAAGCAUUAUCUACCUCUCACCUACGUCAGCUAAAAUCUCACAUAGUAGAGACGGCAAGCCAGACAUGUCAAACAGGAAGAUCAUCUUGUCACAAAAUUCCAUCAACCUUUCUUUUAUUACUUUUUCUUUUAUCACUCUAACUAUUGAUGUGCUAAUCCUUAUCCCUGCUAGAUCUGCAAUGUGUUUUCUCUCUCGUGAACAAGAAAGAUGGAGAGAUCUUACAGACAAACAAAGGUGCAGCAAAACAAGCAAAGAGAUCCAGAAGAAUCUCAUCAGACUUGGAAACCCAGAUCGCGUCAUUUUUUAUGGAUCUUGAGAACUCCCAUGAAUACUCGGUUGUCUGAGAUGGUGAUGGCAAAACUAACUCCACUUAAGCCUCCAUCUCUUGUGCCUCUGUCAACCCCACUGUCAUCUAUGUCUCUGUAGGGAGGUUCUUGCUUUGCGAUGUCAUGUUCUCUAGGCCAUGUAAGAACAACGCCAGUCUCUAGUAGCCAUUUUGGAUUAAAUUGGUUUUGUGUGACCUCUAUAACAACCCAGCUGGUCCUAGGUUUUGAGACUAGUAGAGACAGAUAAAGAAAGAAAAAGGGGGAAGUUUAUGGAAUAUGCAUGGCACCAUCUGAAAAAGGCAAUAAUGCACAACACCAUUUGAAAAGGAAAGAAACAAAAGGUUUUGGUGCUUGGUGCAUCUGCACCAUUUGAAUGAAAAAUAAUAAUUAAAAAUGGAGAAAUGGGGGCCAAAGCUUUGGAAAGA